rnacentral:misc_RNA from 1 species
GUGAAUCAUCAAAUCUUUGAACGCAAAUUGCACUUCUUGGUAUUCCGAGGAGUACACAUGCUUGAGGGUCAGUUAAAAAAAAAUCGUACAUCAUUGAUGUUGCGGAUCUGGGUAUUCCGAUUUUAUAAAUUGGUUACCUAAAAUUAAUAUGGUUAUUAAUGUGAAGCGUACUAAUUAUAUAGUCGCUAAUCAUUUAUACUUAUUAAUUACAUUACAACUACACGAAAGUAUUUAGUUGGUGUAUAAAUUAUGAGAAUGACCUCAAGUCAUGUGAGAGUACCCGCUGAACUUAAGCAUAUCA